GAUGAACGCUGGCGGCGUGCCUAAUACAUGCAAGUCGAGCGAACGGACGAGAAGCUUGCUUCUCUGAUGUUAGCGGCGGACGGGUGAGUAACACGUGGAUAACCUACCUAUAAGACUGGGAUAACUUCGGGAAACCGGAGCUAAUACCGGAUAAUAUUUUGAACCGCAUGGUUCAAAAGUAAAAGACGGUCUUGCUGUCACUUAUAGAUGGAUCCGCGCUGCAUUAGCUAGUUGGUAAGGUAACGGCUUACCAAGGCAACGAUGCAUAGCCGACCUGAGAGGGUGAUCGGCCACACUGGAACUGAGACACGGUCCAGACUCCUACGGGAGGCAGCAGUAGGGAAUCUUCCGCAAUGGGCGAAAGCCUGACGGAGCAACGCCGCGUGAGUGAUGAAGGUCUUCGGAUCGUAAAACUCUGUUAUUAGGGAAGAAUAUAUGUGUAAGUAACUGUGCACAUCUUGACGGUACCUAAUCAGAAAGCCACGGCUAACUACGUG
rnacentral:rRNA from 1 species